rnacentral:rRNA from 1 species
GAGUUUGAUCCUGGCUCAGGAUGAACGCUGGCGGCAUGCCUAAUACAUGCAAGUCGAACGAGAGACCUUCGGGUCUCUAGUGGCGAACGGGUGAGUAACACGUAGGGAACCUGCCCGCGCACCGGGAAUACGCUCUGGAAACGGAGAACAAAUCCCGAUGUACAGGAAGGAGGCAUCUCCUUUCUGUGAAACAUCCUCUAGGGGAUGGGGCGCGGAUGGACCUGCGGUGCAUUAGUUUGUUGGCGGGGUAAAGGCCCACCAAGACGAUGAUGCAUAGCCGGCCUGAGAGGGCGGACGGCCACAUUGGGACUGAGACACGGCCCAGACUCCUGCGGGAGGCAGCAGUAGGGAAUUUUCGUCAAUGGGCGCAAGCCUGAACGAGCGAUGCCGCGUGAGUGAAGAAGGCCUUCGGGUCGUAAAGCUCUGUUGCGGGGGAAAAAAGGCAGCAUCAGGAAAUGGGUGCUGACUGAUGGUGCCCCGCCAGAAAGUCACGGCUAACUACGUGCCAGCAGCCGCGGUAAUACGUAGGUGGCGAGCGUUAUCCGGAAUGAUUGGGCGUAAAGGGUGCGCAGGCGGUCCUGCAAGUCUGGAGUGAAACGCAUGAGCUCAACUCAUGCAUGGCUUUGGAAACUGGAGGACUGGAGAGCAGGAGAGGGCGGUGGAACUCCAUGUGUAGCGGUAAAAUGCGUAGAUAUAUGGAAGAACACCAGUGGCGAAGGCGGCCGCCUGGCCUGUUGCUGACGCUGAGGCACGAAAGCGUGGGGAGCAAAUAGGAUUAGAUACCCUAGUAGUCCACGCCGUAAACGAUGAGGACCAAGUGUUGGGGGUGAAACCUCAGUGCUGAAGUUAACGCAGUGAGUCCUCCGCCUGGGGAGUAUGCACGCAAGUGUAAAACUCAAAGGAAUUGACGGGGGCCCGCACAAGCAGCGGAGCAUGUGGUUUAAUUCGAAGCAACGCGAAGAACCUUACCUAGACUUGACAUCUCCUGCAUUACCCUUAAUCGGGGAAGUUCCUUCGGGGACAGGAAGACAGGUGGUGCAUGGUUGUCGUCAGCUCGUGUCGUGAGAUGUUGGGUUAAGUCCCGCAACGAGCGCAACCCUUAUUGUUAGUUGCUACCAUUUAGUUGAGCACUCUAGCGAGACUGCCCGGGUUAACCGGGAGGAAGGUGGGGAUGACGUCAAAUCAUCAUGCCCCUUAUGUCUAGGGCUACACACGUGCUACAAUGGCAAGUACAAAGAGAAGCAAGACCGUGAGGUGGAGCAAAACUCAAAAACUUGUCUCAGUUCGGAUUGUAGGCUGAAACUCGCCUACAUGAAGCUGGAGUUGCUAGUAAUCGCGAAUCAGCAUGUCGCGGUGAAUACGUUCCCGGGCCUUGUACUCACCGCCCGUCA